UACGUAGGGUGCGAGCGUUAAUCGGAAUUACUGGGCGUAAAGGGUGCGCAGGCGGCGUCGCAAGUCAGGCGUGAAAUCCCCGGACUUAACCUGGGAACUGCACUUGAAACUACGAUGCUGGAGUAUGGCAGAGGGAAGUGGAAUUCCUAGUGUAGCGGUGAAAUGCGUAGAGAUUAGGAAGAACACCAGUGGCGAAGGCGACUUACUGGACUGUAACUGACGCUGAGGCAUGAAAGCGUGGGGAGCAAACAGG
rnacentral:rRNA from 1 species